CGGGGCGUGACAAGCCAUUAUGCAUUUGAGAAGCAGUUUCAAGAUGUGUAUACAAUUGCGAAAUUUAGAGAAUUUCAUGCAGAGUUGAAGGAAUUAAUGUAAGGACUGAGAAUUUUACAGUACAGAUAAACUCUCAGUUGAUGAUGUUUAUGUGUGUAAUUUAAUUACAUAAGCACUCGUCAAGUUUCAGGAGAAAAUGAGCUAAAACGGAGAAGAUAUGCGAUUUGCAGUUUUCACUUAAGUGAAUAGUAACUCCGGUUUUCCGGAGAAGCCACGGAGUAGAGUUGGCUUCUGGUGCGUAUCGGACUCCGUUCGUAGCAGUCCAAUAGCUCGUUUCGAUCGGUUCAGCUAUUCUGGAACUAAUGGCGCUGACGGAUUUUGAGUUUGACCCACGGAUUUCGAGAAAAUCCACAAAUACGCAUUUUAUAUGUAAUUGUGCGUCAUUUUGGCCUUAUGGAGAAAGGUUGGAUUUUGUCGUGAAUCCGUGGUCGAUCGAGACGAAACGAAAUCGCAGCUUUGUUGACUCUGAGGUGCUGAUUGCACUAGUGCAAUCCGUUCGUAAAUCCGACGGACGGAUCUGCGGAAAUUGCGCGUUGAUCGAGGAGAGGUCGGUGUUGGAAAAUUGGUAUUUUUUGCAAAAGGCGCGACAUUUUAUGUACCGUUUCG
rnacentral:lncRNA from 1 species